rnacentral:lncRNA from 1 species
UGGCCUUUCAGGUGGAUGUAGAAGCUACUGCUGAACAAUAUUGACAAUAUGCUACUCCUUUUAUAGAAAUAUGGAUAGCAGAAAGAGCUAAAAUCGUACGUAAGCUACAAUAAAGAUCCACGGUGAUCAAAGCCGAAUUUCAUAGCAUCGGAUGAAGAAUAACUUGUCCAUAUUGCGUAGAUCUUUAUAGCUUGAGUCUGUCAAAGUAAUAAGCUCACC